rnacentral:tRNA from 1 species
ACUUGAGUCAAAUUAUUUUUGUUUAUUUGUUCUCUGAAGAAAUGGCUUACAAGGAGUUAUUAGGAUAUUACAAAUAUUUUAC